rnacentral:rRNA from 1 species
GAAUAUAGGACGUCCAACUUAACUUGGAGUCCGAACUCUCACUUUCUAACCCUGUGCACUUGUUUGGGAUAGUAACUCUCGCAAGAGAGCGAACUCCUAUUCACUUAUAAACACAAAGUCUAUGAAUGUAUUAAAUUUUAUAACAAAAUAAAACUUUCAACAACGGAUCUCUUGGCUCUCGCAUCGAUGAAGAACGCAGCGAAAUGCGAUAAGUAAUGUGAAUUGCAGAAUUCAGUGAAUCAUCGAAUCUUUGAACGCACCUUGCGCUCCAUGGUAUUCCGUGGAGCAUGCCUGUUUGAGUGUCAUGAAUACUUCAACCCUCCUCUUUCUUAAUGAUUGAAGAGGUGUUUGGUUUCUGAGCGCUGCUGGCCUUUACGGUCUAGCUCGUUCGUAAUGCAUUAGCAUCCGCAAUCGAACUUCGGAUUGACUUGGCGUAAUAGACUAUUCGCUGAGGAAUUCUAGUCUUCGGAUUAGAGCCGGGUUGGGUUAAAGGAAGCUUCUAAUCAGAAUGUCUACAUUUUAAGAUUAGAUCUCAAAUCAGGUAGGACUACCCGCUGAACUUAAGCAUAUCAAUAAGCGGAGGAAAAGAAACUAACAAGGAUUCCCCUAGUAGCGGCGAGCGAAGCGGGAAGAGCUCAAAUUUAUAAUCUGGCACCUUCGGUGUCCGAGUUGUAAUCUCUAGAAAUGUUUUCCGCGUUGGACCGCACACAAGUCUGUUGGAAUACAGCGGCAUAGUGGUGAGACCCCCGUAUAUGGUGCGGACGCCCAGCGCUUUGUGAUACAUUUUCGAAGAGUCGAGUUGUUUGGGAAUGCAGCUCAAAUUGGGUGGUAAAUUCCAUCUAAAGCUAAAUAUUGGCGAGAGACCGAUAGCGAACAAGUACCGUGAGGGAAAGAUGAAAAGCACUUUGGAAAGAGAGUUAACAGUACGUGAAAUUGUUGGAAGGGAAACGCUUGAAGUCAGACUUGCUUGCCGAGCAAUCGGUUUGCAGGCCAGCAUCAGUUUUCCGGGAUGGAUAAUGGUAGAGAGAAGGUAGCAGUUUCGGCUGUGUUAUAGCUCUCUGCUGGAUACAUCUUGGGGGACUGAGGAACGCAGUGUGCCUUUGGCGGGGGUUUCGACCUCUUCA